UACGUAGGGGGCAAGCGUUGUCCGGAUUUAUUGGGCGUAAAGAGCGUGUAGGCGGCCAGGUAGGUCCGUUGUGAAAUCUCGAGGCUCAACUUCGAGCUGUCGGUGGAAACUGUCUGGCUAGAGUCCGGAAGAGGAGAAUGGAAUUCCUGGUGUAGCGGUGAAAUGCGCAGAUAUCAGGAAGAACACCCGUGGCGAAGGCGGUUCUCUGGGACGGUACUGACGCUGAGACGCGAAAGCGUGGGGAGCGAACAGG
rnacentral:rRNA from 1 species